rnacentral:lncRNA from 1 species
AAAGAAUCUAUUUUGCUUGAGAAAAUCCCUACUCAAUUUAACCCCGCUGAUAUGGGUACUAAGGUACUUCCUCUAAUUAAGUUUAAGUCAUGUUUGCAACUCCUAAGAAUUGAUACUGGGUAAACUUUGUGUUUGUUCAAGUGUAUUUGGCUUGGUGUUGAUGAUCUGGGAAGAAUUAUACCAAUUGCUUGAAAAGUCUUUUGUUAUAUAUUUUUUUUUCUUUGUCUUUGUGAGUUUGGAUCAUUGGCAUCAAGGGGGAGAUUUAUUGGGCUGUGAUGCCAAAUAAAUAUAUGUGUGUCCAACCCAUUUGGGCAAUGAUGAUAUUAAAAGGUCCAACAGACACUACCCAACCCAUUGCCCAAUAAUUCAAUGUUGAAAAAGCAACUAAAACCCGGCCCAAACCCAAUAACCCACGUGUGUCGCUCUGGACCCUUUGAUAUACUUAACCUAACAUCUGCGAUGAUGACCCAUUAAUAUAUAAACGGGGUCUGAGUCUUUUGACCCUAAUUCGAGUCAUAUUUUACUCUACCUCUUCGUGAUAUUUUCUCUCGAACCUUCUGGGUUUCUCUCUUCGUGACUCUGUGUCUUCUGCCUCUUAUCCUUCUUCGUAAAUCUUGUGAUUUAGCCACUAAACCUCUGGUUUUCUGGCCACUGUGUGUGCUUCUAGUCUGUGUGACUGUUCGGUUGUGAUUUGUGGAGAGUUUCCCGUUCGUGUUUGAGUGAUUUGGGUCCAUUGUAGCGAUUGCCUCUGUGUUUGUGGUUUGGGACUGUGGUUUAUGAGUUUUCACAUUGUACAAAUGGGUACAAUGCGUGAUCUGAG